UUGUUGUGGUUAAAAAGCUCGUAGUUGGAUCUCGGCGGACUGAGGGCGGUUUGCUUGCUAGUAUUACUGCCCUAUAGUCCGUAGUUUUGCCAGAGGUUUCGGGGUGCUCUUAAUCGAGUGUCCCGGGAUGCUGGCAGGUUUACUUUGAAAAAAUUAGAGUGCUCAAAGCAGGCUAUUACGCCUGAAUAUUCGUGCAUGGAAUAAUAGAAUAGGAAGUCGUUUCUAUUUUGUUGGUUUUCGGAAAUCGACUUAAUGAUUAAUAGGGACAGUCGGGGGCAUUUGUAUUCAAACGACAGAGGUGAAAUUCUUGGACCGUUUGAAGACAAACUACUGCGAAAGCAUUUGCCAAGAAUGUUUUCAUUAAUCAAGAACGAAAGUUAAAGGUUCGAAGGCGAUUAGAUACCGCCCUAGUUUUAACCAUAAACGAUGCCAGCUAGCGAUCUGCGGACGUUUUUUUUGUAGACUCCGCAGGAAGCUUCCGGGAAACCAA
rnacentral:rRNA from 1 species